AUUGAGUGAGAAAGCAGUGCAUACCAUCAAAGUGACACUGGGGUAAAAUAUACGAAGCUCAGUAUACCCAUCAUGACUAUCCGUCUGAUAAGGGAACACCAGGCACAUGCAUCACAACCAUAUGUCGCGACAUGGGGAUUUCAUAUCAGGAUAAAACAACACAUGACCUUGCAGGUGGAGGCCCAGUUAGAAUUUUCUUCAGAUCGAAAAAUCGGAAG